rnacentral:rRNA from 1 species
UCUUUUACAGGUUGACCUCGGAUCAGGUAGGGAUACCCGCUGAACUUAAGCAUAUCAAUAAGCGGAGGAAAAGAAACCAACAGGGAUUACCUCAGUAACGGCGAGUGAAGCGGUAACAGCUCAAAUUUGAAAUCUGGCUCUUUUAGGGUCCGAGUUGUAAUUUGUAGACGAUGCUUUGGGUGUGGUGCCGGUCUAAGUUCCUUGGAACAGGACGUCAUAGAGGGUGAGAAUCCCGUAUGUGAUCGGUCGCCUUCGCCCGUGUAAAGCUCGUUCGACGAGUCGAGUUGUUUGGGAAUGCAGCUCAAAAUGGGUGGUAAAUUUCAUCUAAAGCUAAAUAUUGGCCAGAGACCGAUAGCGCACAAGUAGAGUGAUCGAAAGAUGAAAAGCACUUUGGAAAGAGAGUUAAACAGUACGUGAAAUUGUUGAAAGGGAAGCGCUUGCAACCAGACUUGGGCUGUCGCAAUCAUCCGGGGCUCGCCCCGGUGCACUUGUGGCGGCACAGGCCAGCAUCAGUUUCGGUGGUGGGAUAAAGGCCUUGGGAAUGUAGCUUCUUUCGGGGAGUGUUAUAGCCCUCGGUGCAAUGCCGCCUACCGGGACUGAGGACCGCGCUUCGGCGAGGAUGCUGGCGUAAUGGUUGUAAGCGACCCGUCUUGAAACACGGACCAAGGAGUCUAACAUCUAUGCGAGUGUUUGGGUGUCAAACCCAUACGCGUAAUGAAAGUGAACGGAGGUGAGAACCCAUUAGGGUGCAUCAUCGACCGAUCCUGAUGUCUUCGGAUGGAUUUGAGUAAGAGCAUAGCUGUUGGGACCCGAAAGAUGGUGAACUAUGCCUAAAUAGGGUGAAGCCAGAGGAAACUCUGGUGGAGGCUCGCAGCGGUUCUGACGUGCAAAUCGAUCGUCAAAUUUGGGUAUAGGGGCGAAAGACUAAUCGAACCAUCUAGUAGCUGGUUCCUGCCGAA